rnacentral:tRNA from 1 species
GGCUUCGUAGCUCAGCUGGUAGAGCGUGCACGUACACAUUGUACACGACCUCCAUGCGUGGGUUCGAAUCCCACCGAGGAUA